GUGUUGGUGGUUCAGUGGUAGAAUUCUCACCUUCCAUGCAGGAGACCUGGGUUUGAUUCCUGGCCAAUGCA
rnacentral:tRNA from 1 species